UACGUAGGCAGCAAGCGUUGUUCGGAUUCACUGGGCGUAAAGCGUGCGCAGGCGGCUUCUCAAGUCAGGGGUGAAAGCCCAGAGCUCAACUCUGGAAUUGCCUUUGAGACUGAGUGGCUUGAGUACGAGAGAGGUGAGUGGAAUUCCCAGUGUAGAGGUGAAAUUCGUAGAUAUUGGGAAGAACACCGGUGGCGAAGGCGGCUCACUGGCUCGUAACUGACGCUCAUGCACGACAGCGUGGGGAUCAAACAGG
rnacentral:rRNA from 1 species